UACGGGGGGAGCAAGCGUUGUUCGGAUUUACUGGGCGUAAAGGGCGCGUAGGCGGCCACCGCAAGUCGACUGUGAAAUCUCCGGGCUUAACCCGGAAAGGUCAGCCGAUACUGCAGGGCUAGAGUGCAGAAGGGGCAACUGGAAUUCUCGGUGUAGCGGUGAAAUGCGUAGAUAUCGAGAGGAACACCUGCGGCGAAGGCGGGUUGCUGGGCUGACACUGACGCUGAGGCGCGAAAGCUAGGGGAGCGAACGGGG
rnacentral:rRNA from 1 species